GACGAACGCUGGCGGCGCGCUUAACACAUGCAAGUCGAGCGAAGCGGCGGACGGGUGAGUAACACGUGAGUAACCUGCCUUAGACAUUGGGAUAGCCUCGGGAAACCGGGAUUAAUACCAAAUGGUCUAAGAUGGACUCGCGUCCCAUUAGUUAGUGGGUGGGGUAACGGCACACCAAGGCGACGAUGGGUAGCCGGCCUGAGAGGGGAAACGACCACUUUGGAGUGGAGAACCGGUCAAAACUCUCCGGGAGGCAGCAGUGGGGAUUAUUGCCAAUUGGGGGGAACUCUGCUGCAGCGAGUCCGCGUGAACGAAAAAGGCUUCGAGUCGUAAAGUUCUUUUAUAUGGGAAGCGGUACCAUAAGAAAAAGCCCCGGCUAACUACGUGCCAGCAGCCGCGGUAAUUC
rnacentral:rRNA from 1 species